GCUAGUCGUGUGACUCAGGCAAAACGAGUCACGGCACACAGCUCAGUAACACGUGGCUAAUCUGCCCUUAGGACGAGAACAACCCCGGGAAACUGGGGCUAACUCUUGAUAGGUGAAGAACUCUGGAAUGAGUCUUUGCCUAAAUAGAUUCACGUUAUCCUCGUGAAUCUGCCUAAGGAUGAGGCCGCGACCGAUCAGGUUGUUGGCGAGGUAAUGGCUCACCAAGCCUUUUACCGGUGCGGGCCGUGGGAGCGGGAGCCCGGAGAUGGGUACUGAGACAAGGACCCAGGCCCUACGGGGCGCAGCAGUCGCGAAACCUUUGCAAUAAGCGAAAGCUUGACAGGGCUAUCCCGAGUGCCAUCCGCUGAGGAAGGCUUUUACCCAGUCUAGAACGCUGGGGGAAUAAGGAGAGGGCAAGUCUGGUGUCAGCCGCCGCGGUAAUACCAGCUCUUCGAGUGGUGUGGAUGUUUAUUGGGCCUAAAGCAUCCGUAGCUGGCUAGGUCAGUCCCUUGUUAAAUCCACCGAAUUAAUCGUUGGAUCGCGGGGGAUACUGCUUGGCUAGGGGACGAGAGAGGCAGACGGUAUUUUCGGGGUAGGGGUGAAAUCCUAUAAUCCCGGGAAGACCACCAGUGGCGAAGGCUGUCUGCUAGAACGCGCCCGACGGUGAGGGAUGAAAGCUG
rnacentral:rRNA from 1 species